UACGAAGGGGGCUAGCGUUGCUCGGAAUACUGGGCGUAAAGCGCACGUAGGCGGAUUGUAAGUCAGGGGUGAAAUCCUGGAGCUCAACUCCAGAACUGCCUUUGAUACUGGCGAUCUUGAGUCCGGGGAGAGGUGAGUGGAACUGCGAGUGUAGAGGUGAAAUUCGUAGAUAUUCGCAAGAACACCAGUGGCGAAGGCGGCUCACUGGCCCGGUACUGACGCUGAGGUGCGAAAGCGUGGGGAGCAAACAGG
rnacentral:rRNA from 1 species